rnacentral:lncRNA from 1 species
AGACUAGUGUUCAAAGGACAUCAGUACAAGGAAAGCAAAAAUGAGUGGGAGGCAAUGUGUAGCUAAGUUUUGUUUAAAAGUUCUCAGUAUGGGAUUCUUCAGUUCUGACCCAUUAUAUUUUUGCCCCUGAUCAGAAGUUAAUGAAAAGUACAUUUCUUGGCAAACUAGAUUGAUAGUUCCUGUCCUGAGGGUUUGGAACAAUACUUUUGAAUUUUGAGUUUAUUUGGAGCGUUUCACUAGAAACCAACACUAAGAAUCGAACAGGGUAAGGCAGUGCCUAGUCUAACCUGUGCCUGCAAGGUUAGGCCACUGGCUGGGUACAUGCCGUUGCAUCCUGCUGUCAGUUUAAUGGUCUUGCAGAAG